rnacentral:tRNA from 1 species
GCAUAUGUCUUGAAAACAUAAGAAAGAAGUAAAUCCUUCUAUUAAUUU